rnacentral:rRNA from 1 species
CGGCGUGCCUAAUACAUGCAAGUCGAGCGAGCGGAACUAACAGAUUUACUUCGGUAAUGACGUUAGGAAAGCGAGCGGCGGAUGGGUGAGUAACACGUGGGGAACCUGCCCCAUAGUCUGGGAUACCACUUGGAAACAGGUGCUAAUACCGGAUAAGAAAGCAGAUCGCAUGAUCAGCUUUUAAAAGGCGGCGUAAGCUGUCGCUAUGGGAUGGCCCCGCGGUGCAUUAGCUAGUUGGUAAGGUAAAGGCUUACCAAGGCGAUGAUGCAUAGCCGAGUUGAGAGACUGAUCGGCCACAUUGGGACUGAGACACGGCCCAAACUCCUACGGGAGGCAGCAGUAGGGAAUCUUCCACAAUGGACGCAAGUCUGAUGGAGCAACGCCGCGUGAGCGAAGAAGGUUUUCGGAUCGUAAAGCUCUGUUGUUGGUGAAGAAGGAUAGAGGUAGUAACUGGCCUUUAUUUGACGGUAAUCAACCAGAAAGUCACGGCUAACUACGUGCCAGCAGCCGCGGUAAUACGUAGGUGGCAAGCGUUGUCCGGAUU